rnacentral:rRNA from 1 species
AGACGUCUACAUUAGAUACCCGGGUAGUCCUAGCCGUAAACGAUACUCGCUAGGUGUCGGCCACGGUGCGACCGUUGUCGGUGCCGUAGGGAAGCCGUGAAGCGAGCCACCUGGGAAGUACGGCCGCAAGGCUGAAACUUAAAGGAAUUGGCGGGGGAGCACCACAACAGGUGGAGCCUGCGGUUUAAUUGGACUCAACGCCGGACAACUCACCGGGGACGACAGCAAUAUGUAGGCCAGGCUGAAGACCUUGCCUGAAUCGCUG